AGUGAACGCUGGCGGUAGGCCUAACACAUGCAAGUCGAAGGGCAGCACAGUAAGAGCUUGCUCUUACGGGUGGCGAGUGGCGGACGGGUGAGGAAUACAUCGGAAUCUACUUUUUCGUGGGGGGUAACGUAGGGAAACUUACGCUAAUACCGCAUACGACCUACGGGUGAAAGCAGGGGAUCUUCGGACCUUGCGCGAUUGAAUGAGCCGAUGCCGGAUUAGCUAGUUGGCGGGGUAAAGGCCCACCAAGGCGACGAUCCGUAGCUGGGCUGAGAGGCAGACCAGCCACACUGGAACUGAGACACGGUCCAGACUCCUACGGGAGGAAGCAAGCGGGAAUAUUGGACAAUGGGCGCAAGCCUGAUCCAGACAUACCGCGUGGGUGAAGAAGGCCGUCGGGUUGUAAAGCCCUUUUGUUGGGAAAGAAAAGCGGCAGGUUAACACCCCGCUCUUCUGACGGUACCCAAAGAAUAGGCACCGGCUAACUUCGUG
rnacentral:rRNA from 1 species